GAUGAACGCUGGCGGCGUGCCUAAUACAUGCAAGUCGAGCGAACAGAUGAGGAGCUUGCUCCUCUGACGUUAGCGGCGGACGGGUGAGUAACACGUGGAUAACCUACCUAUAAGACUGGGAUAACUUCGGGAAACCGGAGCUAAUACCGGAUAAUAUAUUGAACCGCAUGGUUCAAUAGUGAAAGACGGUUUUGCUGUCACUUAUAGAUGGAUCCGCGCCGCAUUAGCUAGUUGGUAAGGUAACGGCUUACCAAGGCAACGAUGCGUAGCCGACCUGAGAGGGUGAUCGGCCACACUAGACCUGAGACACGGUCCAGACUCCUACGGGAGGCAGCAGUAGGGAAUCUUCCGCAAUGGGCGAAAGCCUGACGGAGCAACGCCGCGUGAGUGAUGAAGGUCUUCGGAUCGUAAAACUCUGUUAUUAGGGAAGAACAAAUGUGUAAGUAACUAUGCACGUCUUGACGGUACCUAAUCAGAAAGCCACAGCUAACUACGUG
rnacentral:rRNA from 1 species